rnacentral:snRNA from 1 species
GCUCACACCAGCAGCCUAUACUAAAAUUGGAAGGGUACACAGGUUAACAAGGGCCCUGUGCAAGGGUCACAUGCUAAUUCCCCAAGAGCUCUAUAUUUAA